rnacentral:rRNA from 1 species
UACGUAGGGGGGCAAGCGUUGUCCGGAUUUAUUGGGCGUAAAGAGCGUGUAGGCGGCCAGACAGGUCCGUUGUGAAAACUCGAGGCUCAACCUCGAGACGUCGAUGGAAACCGUCUGGCUAGAGUCCGGAAGAGGAGUGUGGAAUUCCUGGUGUAGCGGUGAAAUGCGCAGAUAUCAGGAAGAACACCUAUGGCGAAGGCAGCACUCUGGGACGGUACUGACGCUGAGACGCGAAAGCGUGGGGAGCGAACAGG